UGAGGAACAUGACCUUCGGCGGGGGAUAGCCGGCCCAACGGCCGGGUAAUACCGCGUACGACCACUUUGGGACAUCCCUAGGUGGUGAAAGCAGCAAUGCGCCGAUGGAGUGCCUCGCGGCCUAUCAGCUAGUUGGUGAGGUAACGGCUCACCAAGGCGACGACGGGUAGCCGGCCUGAGAGGGCGACCGGCCACACUGGGACUGAGACACGGCCCAGACCUCCGUACGGGGAGCAG
rnacentral:rRNA from 1 species